rnacentral:lncRNA from 1 species
CUAUCGGGGCUCGGGGGCCCAAGUCCUCUGGCUGCCGCGCAGGCUGCGCGUGAAGGGCGGGUAGUUGAGGAACUCGAAGCGCAGGCUCUGCUCGGUGGUGUGGUGGCCCCGGGGCAGCCGCUUCAUGAAGUGGACCUCACGCUGGUGCUGCCGCGUCUUGGAGCCCUUGCGGGGCCGGCCCUUGCGGGUGAAGGCCAUGUACCAGCCCUCGUACUUGGCAUUCUGCAGCGCUGUGUAGUUGUUCUCCAGCACAAUCUCCGUGAAGACGCAGUCCUUGCCUUUGCCGUUGCUCUGCAUGUAGAGGCCCGUCUCGGCUCCUCGGACUCGAACUCUGCUUCCAAAGGUGUCCGUCUCCACGAUGAGCUUUGCUGUCAGAGAAGCAGCGAGACAUACUCGAUCCCCCAAACUGGCUCAAGAAGAGGAGAAAGUAUUCAGGAAAUGUUAAAAAAGGUGAAAGUAAGAAGAGUUUUAAUCGCUCUGCCAGACGCAGGGGUCUCUCCAGAGAUUCAGAGAGAACAAUCUUGAACCUCUUUUUUAACAUUUACAGACUUGCAACUCCUUUCAAACUCCACAUCUGAAAAAAAGCUCGUUCUUUUUCUGUUUUAUAUCAUUCUUCAUUUUUCUUCUUAGCUCUUAAA